GGCCUGGAAGCCCCAGGAAGGGGUCUGGGUGAGGAGGAGUUCUGGGCCAGCAGCUGAGGAUGGGCGCGGCGUGGGCGGAGUCAGAGCUCUGUGCCCCCAGUCCUAGGACCCACGGGGUCAGCGCCCCCUCUUCUUCGACUAGGAAGGGGGGCGCGGCGGCGGGUCCCUGAGGAGGGAGCAGCCCGGCUGGAGAUCUCCGCCUCUGCUUGGAUCUCAGCGCACAGCUGGCAGGGCGCCCCCGAGCCCUAGGGCAGAAUGUCACCUCAGCUCAUCCAGACCGUGAGCCCGGAGGAACUGAGGCGCAGGUCGCCACGCCCCUACCCAGGGUCCCGAACAUCAGCCCUGCAGCACUCAGCCUCCCGCGCCUCCUGAGCACCCCACCCGGUACUCUUUCUCCGCUUCGCAGUGGGGUCUCCCCUGCCCCGCCUCCUCUCCCUCCCC
rnacentral:lncRNA from 1 species